CCGGAGCCCUGCUCGUCUCGCGCACUUACUUGUUCAAAUCGCAGCUGCUGACUGCAGACCGGCGGAACCGGCCGAACCACCGGACAAGGCUGACUUACAGCAGCACCAGCAGCGAGGUGCACGGGGCAGACAGCGCUGUUGUCCCGCGGGGAGUUGCAGCAGGAUGAUGCAGCCGGCUGACCGAUCAGCAGAUACGGAGAGGCAGUUCUCUUAAAGGAGCCCCCAGAUUUAAAUGGCCUGCGUCUCUGCAGCGCCAAGAAGCGCCAGGUGGGAGCAGGUGAUGGAGUGUGACCCUCAGACUUGGAAAGAUGCUGGACCUUUUGACCAGAAUCAGGUCUGAUCCCGCUGAUGUCUGCCAGCUCCCCAAGUGACUCUUUGGACCUUCCACAAUGACUUUGCCUAAAUUCAAAUUCAAAAACACUGCAUUAAUCCCAAAGUGAAAUUAAAUGUUGCUGUAACUCAAGUGA